CCUACGGGCGGCAGCAGUGGGGAAUAUUGGACAAUGGGGGCAACCCUGAUCCAGCCAUGCCGCGUGUGUGAAGAAGGCCCUCGGGUUGUAAAGCACUUUCAGUGAGGAAGAACGCCUGGUGGUUAAUACCCAUCAGGAAAGACAUCACUCACAGAAGAAGCACCGGCUAACUCCGUGCCAGCAGCCGCGGUAAUACGGAGGGUGCGAGCGUUAAUCGGAAUUACUGGGCGUAAAGCGCGCGUAGGUGGCUUGAUAAGCCGGUUGUGAAAUCCCCGGGCUCAACCUGGGAACGGCAUCCGGAACUGUCAAGCUAGAGUGCAGGAGAGGAAGGUAAAAUUCCCGGUGUAGCGGUGAAAUGAGUAGAGAUCGGGAGGAAUACCAGUGGCGAAGGCGGCCUUCUGGACUGACACUGACACUGAGGUGCGAAAGCGUGGGUAGCAAACAGGAUUAGAUACCCUUGUAGUC
rnacentral:rRNA from 1 species